UACGAGGGAUCCUAGCGUUGUUCGGAAUCAUUGGGCGUAAAGGGUGUGUAGGCGGCCAAGUAAGUCAGUUGUGAAAGCCCCGGGCUCAACCCGGGAAGUGCCUCUGAUACUGCUUGGCUUGAGUAUUGGAGAGGUGAGUGGAAUUCCAGGUGUAGUGGUGAAAUACGUAGAUAUCUGGAGGAACACCGGCGGCGAAGGCGGCUCACUGGCCAUAUACUGACGCUGAAACACGAAAGCGUGGGUAGCAAACAGG
rnacentral:rRNA from 1 species